GACGAACGCUGGCGGCGUGCUUAACACAUGCAAGUCGAACGGAAAGGCCCCUUUGGGGGUACUCGAGUGGCGAACGGGUGGGUAACACGUGAGUAACCUGCCCUUGACUUCGGGAUAACUUCAGGAAACUGGGGCUAAUACCGGAUAGGAAUCCUUGCUGCAUGGUGGGGGUUGGAAAGCUUCGGCGGUUUUGGAUGGACUCGCGGCUUAUCAGCUUGUUGGUGGGGUAGUGGCUUACCAAGGCUUUGACGGGUAGCCGGCCUGAGAGGGCGACCGGCCACAUUGGGACUGAGAUACGGCCCAGACUCCUACGGGAGGCAGCAGUGGGGAAUAUUGCACAAUGGGCGGAAGCCUGAUGCAGCAACGCCGCGUGCGGGAUGACGGCCCUCGGGUUGUAAACCGCUUUCAGCAGGGGCGAAGCUUGUGGUGACGGUACCUGCAGAAGAAGCACCGGCUAACUACGUG
rnacentral:rRNA from 1 species